UACGUAGGGUGCGAGCGUUAAUCGGAAUUACUGGGCGUAAAGGGCGUGUAGGUGGCCAACUAAGUCAGACGUGAAAUCCCUCGGCUUAACCGGGGAACUGCGUCUGAUACUGGAUGGCUUGAGUGUGGGAGAGGGAUGCGGAAUUCCAGGUGUAGCGGUGAAAUGCGUAGAUAUCUGGAGGAACACCGGUGGCGAAGGCGGCAUCCUGGACCAUUACUGACACUGAAACGCGAAAGCCAGGGGAGCAAACGGG
rnacentral:rRNA from 1 species